rnacentral:rRNA from 1 species
CCGGUCGAACCGCAAGGGAAGCUCGACCGUAAACGGUAAAACUAGUAACUAGGGCU